rnacentral:piRNA from 1 species
UCUGCUGGGACCAGCAGUCUCACAGUUGCCUG